UACGGGGGGGGGCAAGCGUUGUUCGGAAUUACUGGGCGUAAAGGGCUCGUAGGCGGCCAACUAAGUCGGAUGUGAAAUCCCCAGGCUUAACCUGGGAACUGCAUCCGAUACUGGAUGGCUUGAAUUCGGGAGAGGGAUGCAGAAUUCCAGGUGUAGCGGUGAAAUGCGUAGAUAUCUGGAGGAAUACCGGUGGCGAAGGCGGCAUCCUGGACCGACAUUGACGCUGAGGCACGAAAGCGUGGGGAGCAAACGGG
rnacentral:rRNA from 1 species